UGAAAAUUAAAGAAAAAGAAGAAAAUAAAAGAAAAAAAGAAAAAGAAAAGAAAAAAAUAAAUAAUAAUAAUCAUAAUAAAUGCAGUCCUAGAGUUCUAUUAACUUCUCUUCCAGUAGGUGGAGCUGUGCCCACUGGGCCAAGCUUCUCCUCUCAAUAGGUGGGAACCAUUCACUGCAGCAGCUCUUUCUCCUAGACUGGGCGGGUCUCCAAUCCUGAGUGUCUAGGGCCUUGUCUUGUGUUUCCUCAAGCCAGGCCGGCCGUGCUCACCUGUGGCGCUCACCACAAUAC
rnacentral:lncRNA from 1 species